UUAUUCAUUUGUAGCAUAUUGUAAUGAACUGAUUUUUUUUUUUUGCCCCGAGGAAAGGGAAAAUUGGAUAUAUGUUUGGACCAGUUUGGUCCGAGCGUUGGAGAUGGAGUCCCAUUGUUGGCUUUACGGUAAUAAUGGCAAUUCCGGUUUUUUCGGCAUGGAGGAAUCAGAAGUUGGUGAUUGGCAAUUUCAUGUGCAAUGGUUCUCUGAUUGCAUGGUGACCUUAAGUCUCCAUGGAACAAAUAAUGUCAUUUACAGGGGUUUGAUUGGGAGAAAAAACCGGAAUUGCCAUUAUUACCGUAAA
rnacentral:misc_RNA from 1 species